rnacentral:rRNA from 1 species
CCUACGGGAGGCAGCAGUAGGGAAUAUUGGUCAAUGGAUGCAAGUCCGAACCAGCCAUGCCGCGUGCAGGAAGAAGGCCUUCUGGGUUGUAAACUGCUUUUGCCGGGGGAUAAAAUUCCCAUGCGUGGGACAUUGAAGGUACCCGGUGAAUAAGCCACGGCUAACUACGUGCCAGCAGCCGCGGUAAU